rnacentral:rRNA from 1 species
AUACGGAGGAUCCGAGCGUUAUCCGGAUUUAUUGGGUUUAAAGGGAGCGUAGGUGGACAGUUAAGUCAGUUGUGAAAGUUUGCGGCUCAACCGUAAAAUUGCAGUUGAUACUGGCUGUCUUGAGUACAGUAGAGGUGGGCGGAAUUCGUGGUGUAGCGGUGAAAUGCUUAGAUAUCACGAAGAACUCCGAUUGCGAAGGCAGCUCACUGGACUGCAACUGACACUGAUGCUCGAAAGUGUGGGUAUCAAACAGGAUUAGAUACCCUGGUAGUCCACACAGUAAACGAUGAAUACUCGCUGUUUGCGAUAUACAGUAAGCGGCCAAGCGAAAGCAUUAAGUAUUCCACCUGGGGAGUACGCCGGCAACGGUGAAACUCAAAUGAAUUGGCGGGG